AUGGACCGCGAGUGGGGCUCCAAGCCCGGCAGCGGCGGCGCCGCCACCGCCCAGAAUGAGGCCAUUGACCGGCGGGAGCGCCUGCGCCGCCUCGCGCUCGAGACCAUCGACCUCGCCAAGGACCCGUACUUCAUGCGAAACCAUCUCGGCAGCUAUGAGUGCAAGCUCUGCCUGACGCUCCACAACAACGAGGGGAACUACCUCGCGCACACGCAGGGGAAGCGGCACCAGACCAACCUCGCCAAGCGUGCCGCCCGCGAGGCCAAGGACGCGCCCGCGCAGCCCCAGCCAAACAAGCGCAAGCUCGCGCCCCGCAAGUCUGUUAAGAUUGGCAGACCUGGAUAUACAGUAACUAAACAGUAUGAUCCUGACACGAAGCAACACUCAUUUCUCUUUGAGAUCGAGUAUCCUGAAAUCGAAGAUAAUAGCAAGCCAAGGCACCGUUUCAUGGCAUCAUAUGAACAGAAAAUCCAAUCUUGGGAUAAGAGGUACCAAUAUCUGCUUUUUGCAGCGGAGCCCUACGAGGUCAUUGGCUUUAAGAUUCCAAGCACAGAGAUUGACAAAUCAACAGACAAGUUUUUCUCGUAUUGGGAUCCGGACAAGAAGUCGUACAUUCUACAACUAUACUUCAAGCCAAGACCACCGGAAAUUAACAGACAACCAGCAGCUCCUGGUACUGUCCCAAAUGGGACAGGAGGCCCUCCUGGUGCUCCACCAAGGCCACCAUCCCAGCCACAGGCUCUGCCGCCACCUCCACCGAAUGCACCUAUGGGAAUGCCCCCUAGGAUCCCGCCACCACCAAUGAGCGGUCUUCAACCUCCACCCCCUCCACCUCCGCUUGCAAAUGGUCCUCCGCGUUCAAUACCACCUCCACCUCCUUCUGGUGGUCCAAUGGCUAACUUUACUCCUGGAGCACCUCCGCCACGCCCUCCGAUGCAAGGCUACCCUGGACCUCAGCAGUAG
rnacentral:rRNA from 1 species